GGUUAGCAGGCAUCUGUUUCUGCUUUGUUUUCGGCCAGCACUGAUCGCGGGCUUGUUCGCCACUCAAAUCAUACUUAAUCUAAAAAGGACUUUAUUUGACCACCUCUGUGAGAGUUUAAGGAAAUGGACUGCAGCUGUUGGGCCAUAUUUCAGAGAAGUGCUCUGAGGUUAGCAUCAUAAACAGGGAAGAUGAAACCCAGAUGUGUGCCAGCUGAAGAUGCAUAACGAUCCGUUAGCUGCAGCCACGGCCACCAUCAUCACCUCCACGCAGAUGGAGGGCUGCUUGUCCCAGUGGCCGGCCCAAUGGCGCGAGCUUCUAAAGGGAGAGUGGACGGUUUGACAAGUUUGUGUGCAGGGACCCCAUUGCGCAGCACCGCUGCUUAAUCCCCAGGUGAGCUGCUGUCCCUGUUAGAUGUUCCUUGUCUCAAUUUCCCAAAGACAAAGUGCAGUUCUUUGGCCAACCCACAGCCCUAUUUCCUAUGUUAAAAAAGCACCCAGUUAAUCCAGACAAAAUGCAGCUGUCCCCCCCCCCCCCCACACACACACACACUCACACACACACACAUACACACCCCUGCAAGGCAGGAUCUCGCUGUGGCUACACCAGUGUAGAUUUCCUCUGGAUAUUUUUAAGUGCACCUUUAAUUUAACCUUGUUUUCACAUUCCAGGUUUUAAAGUUCUUUUAACAGGGACUAAUCACUGUGACUGUUGUAAUACUAUCAUAAAAUUGAUGAUGUUGCGUGAUCCAGAGAGUCUGGAAUGUGUGUUUUUUAGGGAGCUCAUACUAAGAUGGAGAUUUAGUUGUGUGAUUUAUGCAGAUGAGUGACCCUAUUUCACAGAGCCUAAAGAAAUUAAAUGCUUUCACUCUCCCUCUACCUGACAAAUGGAGGUGUCCCCAUCCCAGGUGCAGCCUGUUUCCCGGCACGCAGGCUGAAUGAUCACUGCGAGCGGCCUCACAUGAGCCGUCCCGCUGACUAAUCACACAGCCAUCCGUCAUUCAAACAAACCAUUCCAGCCCAACCCCAAAAGGUCACGCUGUGUAAUCGCGGCCCACGCGGCCCGCACACUAUUCACUCAGCCUUAAUGAUGCCGGCGUGGGAUUCGUCUCCGUUUACCUCACGCGGGUGAACUAUUCCGGC